GCCGUGGUAGUUCAGUUGGGAGAGCACGAGUUUGAAGCACUCGGUGUCGUAUGUUCAAUUCAUACCCUUGGCG
rnacentral:tRNA from 1 species